rfam:Cavia porcellus supercont2_73 genomic scaffold, whole genome shotgun sequence.
UGGGAUUUAGCUCAGCGGCAUAAGCGCCUGCCUUGCAAGCAGGCAGUCGUGAGUUCGAUCCCCAGUACCGA